rnacentral:rRNA from 1 species
AUUGAACGCUGGCGGCAGGCUUAACACAUGCAAGUCGAGCGGGGAAGGGUAGCUUGCUACCUAACCUAGCGGCGGACGGGUGAGUAAUGCUUAGGAAUCUGCCAUUUAGUGGGGGACAACAUUCCGAAAGGAAUGCUAAUACCGCAUACGUCCUACGGGAGAAAGCAGGGGAUCUUCGGACCUUGCGCUAAAUGAUGAGCCUAAGUCGGAUUAGCUAGUUGGUGGGGUAAAGGCCUACCAAGGCGACGAUCUGUCGCGGGUCUGAGAGGAUGAUCCGCCACACUGGGACUGAGACACGGCCCAGACUCCUACGGGAGGCAGCAGUGGGGAAUAUUGGACAAUGGGCGAAAGCCUGAUCCAGCCAUGCCGCGUGUGUGAAGAAGGCCUUUUGGUUGUAAAGCACUUUAAGCGAGGAGGAGGCUACUAGUACUAAUACUACUGGAUAGUGGACGUUACUCGCAGAAUAAGCACCGGCUAACUCUGUGCCAGCCGCCGCCGUAA